AUGGAGCCAUCACAGCAGAAGACCAUGAGCCCAGUGAUGGAGUCUGCCAAGGGCUUUGUGCUUGGAGCCAUGGCUGGAGGUACUCUGGGAGCCACAGAGGUACCGCUGAAUCAAAUUAUGUCACAGAUAAUCUCAGGUGCCCAAAUGAAGCCCGUUAUGUCUGGCAUUAAGAGCAUCGGGGCUCUGGGACUGGGUGCACUUCUAGGAACUACUGCACUCAUCACAUCAAUGGCAUUGGUGGUAACGGGGGUCACCGUAGCUGCUUCUGUGGCCUUGUGUCUAUUGAGAUUGAGGAAGAAUGAAGGAUGGGUGGCAGCAGGAUUGGCCGCGGCUCUCACCACGACUUCAAGCGGGGCAGCACUAGGGACCAUCAUUGAAAAUCUGAGCAUGAGCUACGGGAUGGUCAGCCUGCUCUGGGCUUUGGGGAUUUUUACAGUUCUGAAACUAUUGAUGCACUUCUUUGUCAAGCAUACAUGCACAGAACGGGAAUUCUGUGGAUCAAUCGCUGAUGCUACUAAGAGAGAACAAGCAAGACUACUUGCUUUGGAAAUAGAUCUAAGACGGCGGGCUGCAUUGGAAUUGGAAAAGCGGAUUGAGGCCUGCGAGAUGAAGAAAUCAGAAGAGGAUGGUCUGGCUGCUUGGGAGGCCCAACGAAGAGAAAGAGAAGAAAUAAAGAGACAGCAAAGGAAGGCUGUUGAGUUGGAAAUGCAGCAGAGGACUUCUCGACAACGCCUGCUGAACGCGGUGGCCAAAUACAUGGAGUUUCUUGCAUUUUCUGACAUUCCGAUGACUGUGACUGCUUUUGUGACUGCUGGCUUUGGCAUCUUUGGCUUUGGAGAUUACAGAUUUGUUUUUGUUGUCCUGUUAGUCAUGGUGUUAUGCAUGUCAUUUUGGCUCAUGAGUUCUUGGCGUUUGAACUUUUGGAUGCUAAUGGGAUGCAUGGGAAUGUUUGCCACAUUUGCCAUUGCCGUGCUGACUGUUCAUGCCGGGCAGGAGGUGGCAGGCAUGUCUGUCAAAAUGCGCUUGGCAGGACAAAACAUGAGCAAGGAGAACAUCAGCAUCCGUAUGACUCAUGCAUCCUCCGUACAGGCAAUUUCUGCAGGAUUCUUUGUCUCAGAAGUCUGUCAGGUUGGUUUAGGGGCCACAGUCGGUGGUCCAGUGGCACGAGAGGCAGGAGGAAAGGUAAUUUUGGGGGCGUCUGUAACCGCUGUGGUUGUUUUGUCGAUAGUUGAAGCGUCGACACAGAUGCUGGGAGUCGGUGGUAAGGCGGGGGCUUUGCUGGGGGCGGCUGGAGCUGCUGGUGUGUCCAUGGGAGGCGCUGCAGCCAUAGCUGUGAAAUCAUCCACAUGGGGAGGAACAAUGGGAACCACUGCUGGGAUGAUCUUUGGCUUAUUGGUGUUUAGAAAGUGGGACAUUGUUAACAUAGGGCUUCAGAUAUUUGUGGCAUACCUGUUUGCCAUGACAAAUCUUUACUGAAAUGCUAUGAUGUAACUGCUCUUUUUAGUAUGGUACUACAGUGGGCAUGGAAAGAAUCAGCAUCAAUAAAAUUGCUUCCUUCUUUUUCUGUUCUCA
ensembl:lncRNA